GACGAACGCUGGCGGCGUGCUUAACACAUGCAAGUCGAACGAGUGGCGAACGGGUGAGUAACACGUGGGUGACCUGCCCCGCACUUCGGGAUAAGCCUGGGAAACUGGGUCUAAUAAUGGAUAGUGUGGGAUGGGCCCGUGGCCUAUCAGAUUGUUGGUGGGGUAAGGGCUACCAAGGCGCGACGGGUAGCCGGCCUGAGAGGGUGUAAGGCCACAUUGGGACUGAGACACGGCCCAGACUCCUACGGGAGGCAGCAGUGGGGAAGAUUGCACAAUGGGGGUAAGCCUGAUGCAGCCAUGCCGCGUGUAUGAAGAAGGCCUUAGGGUUGUAAAGUACUUUCAGCUGGGAGGCGUUACCCGCAGAAGAAGCACCGGCUAACUCCGUGCCAGCAGCCGCGGUAAUAC
rnacentral:rRNA from 1 species